rnacentral:lncRNA from 1 species
GCGCGCCGGGCUAGGGCAUCGCGGGAGUGGUGUUUCCGAUCUACGCUGCUUCGGUCUCUGUGUUACCGCGUGGGGCCUCAACUUCUGAACUCGCUUACCCUCAGCUUCCUGGGCCACAGCUCAUUGUUCUCCCUUAACUGCGCGGUGUCGGCGUCCUCGCUCGUGGUGUACUCGCAGUUCGCUUUCCGGGUGCUGGCAUUCACAAGAAUGGCUCAGUAAUCUAGGCCUUUAGGUGUCAUCCUUACCCUCUCCCCGCACCAUGACGGUGGAGACGCAUUGGGGAGGAAAAGUGAACCCCUUAAGAGGACUGCUCCGAGGGCAAAUGGAACUAGCUCAGCAGCUUGCCACCCCUGGGUGCCUGGCCGGGUAAACAAAGUAAGCUCAGGUGGUUCUGUAGGCCAGUGAUGCUCACUCUGGCUGCUACCCAGGUCGGGAUGUGUGUGUGUGUGUGUGUGUGUGUGUGCUGCUACCCAGGGCGGGGUGUGUGUGUGUGUGUGUGUGUGUGUGUGCUCUGCCCCAGGUGGGGGUGUGUGUGUGUGUGUGUGUGUGUGUGUGUGCUCUGCCCCAGGUGGGGGUGUGUGUGUGUGUGUGUGUGUGUGUGUCGGGGUGUGUGUGUGUGUGUGUGUGCGUGCGCGUGCGCUGCUACCCAGGUCGGGCUGUGUGUGUGUGUGUGUGUGUGUGUGUGUGUGUCUUUUUAGGGCCGCACCCGCCUGUAGCCGCUUACGCCAGAGCCACAGCAACGCGGGAUCUGAGCCACAUCUGCGACCUACACCACAGCUCAGGGCAAUGCUGGAGUCCUAGCAGAUUGAGCGAGGCCAGGGAUCGAACCUGCGUCCUCAUGGAUGCCAGUCACAUUCCUUUCGUUGAGCAAGGCGGGGAACCCUGCAGGUCUGGAUUUCUGUAGCAGGCUUUUAUGUAGACUUCCUGAAACUGUGUUCAGUGUCACUACCUCCAGCUGGUGACUGCCAUCUAAAAUGAAAAUCUCCUUCCUGGCACUCACCCUGGCUUUCAGCUUCACUCUGUUACCCACACUGCAAUGUCCAGGUGUGUUCUGUUCAGUAAGAAGAGGUGUUCCUCUAAGAAAUAUCCCGUAGGAGAUCCUGUCGUGGCGCAGUGGUUAAUGAAUCUGACUAGGAACCAUGAGGUUGCGGAUUCGGUCCCUGACCUUGCUCAGUGGGUUAAGGAUCCGGCGUUGCAGUGAGCUGUGGUGUAGGUGGCAGACGCGGCUUGGAUCCCGCGUUGCUGUGGCUCUGGUGUAGGCCGGCAGCUACAGCUCCGAUUCAACCCCUAGAA